rnacentral:rRNA from 1 species
GGGGAAUCUUAGACAAUGGGGGAAACCCUGAUCUAGCCAUGCCGCGUGAGCGAUGAAGGCCUUGGGGUUGUAAAGCUCUUUCAGCUGGGAAGAUAAUGACGGUACCAGCAGAAGAAGCCCCGGCUGACUCCGUGCCAGCAGCCGCGGUAAUACGGAGGGGGCUAGCGUUGUUCGGAAUUACUGGGCGUAAAGCGCACGUAGGCGGACCAGAAAGUUGGGGGUGAAAUCCCGGGGCUCAACCCCGGAACUGCCUUCAAAACUCCUGGUCUUGAGGUCGAGAGAGGUGAGUGGAAUUCCGAGUGUAGAGGUGAAAUUCGUAGAUAUUCGGAGGAACACCAGUGGCGAAGGCGGCUCACUGGCUCGAUACUGACGCUGAGGUGCGAAAGCGUGGGGAGCAAAC